rnacentral:rRNA from 1 species
UACGUAGGAGGCGAGCGUUGUCCGGAUUUCCUGGGCGUAAAGUGUGCGCAGGUGGCCGCGCAAGUCGAGUGUGAAAUCCCCGAGCUUAACUUGGGAAUUGCGCUCGAAACUACGUGGCUCGAGUGUGGCAGAGGAAGGUGGAAUUCCACGUGUAGCGGUGAAAUGCGUAGAGAUGUGGAGGAACACCGAUGGCGAAGGCAGCCUUCUGGGCCAACACUGACGCUCAUGCACGAAAGCGUGGGGAGCAAACAGG